CAUGACUUGUGCUGAUAUUAUGUAAAAACAUUGUUUUCAGCAAGAGAACAAUUCAGCCUAGAUGAACCAGAAGAGAUACAGGACGUCAGUGGUGAGAGGAUUAAACCAUCAUGCAGGAAUGGCCUUCUGUCUGUAAGUUUUCCUGGGUCUGGAAUUUCUCAGAAACAGAGACAUGGCAUGUGGUCUUCUGAUGGAGUUUGUACAACAUGCUGAAAGAGAACAGGCUACUAAGAAAUGACAACCAAACAUGACAAAAUGAAAUACAAUACGAGGAAGCAAAACCUUCCACAUUGAAGUUGGACAUAGCAACUGAAAAGAAGGAGAAGAGUCCCAAGCACAGUUAUAUUUGCAGUGUGAUAACCAUACAUACUUGGAAUUAUCUGCACAACAGCAAUGAAGAGCAAAGUCAUCUGGUGUAGAGUCCAAAGUGGAUUCAGAAGAGAGUAAAAUUACAUUGGAAGUGAAAAUAUAGAUUAUGCCGGAGUGAUUUAAAAAAUUGCUACUAUAAACUUUUG